rnacentral:rRNA from 1 species
GAGUUUGAUCGUGGCUCAGAUUGAACGCUGGCGGCAUGCCUUACACAUGCAAGUCGAACGGCAGCAUGAUCUAGCUUGCUAGAUUGAUGGCGAGUGGCGAACGGGUGAGUAAUACAUCGGAACGUGCCCUGUAGUGGGGGAUAACUAGUCGAAAGAUUAGCUAAUACCGCAUACGACCUGAGGGUGAAAGUGGGGGACCGCAAGGCCUCAUGCUAUAGGAGCGGCCGACGUCUGAUUAGCUAGUUGGUGGGGUAAAGGCCCACCAAGGCGACGAUCAGUAGCUGGUCUGAGAGGACGAUCAGCCACACUGGGACUGAGACACGGCCCAGACUCCUACGGGAGGCAGCAGUGGGGAAUUUUGGACAAUGGGCGAAAGCCUGAUCCAGCAAUGCCGCGUGUGUGAAGAAGGCCUCGGUUGUAAG